GGGAUUGCCCCAGUAACGGCGAGUGAAGCGGCAACAGCUCAAAUUUGAAAUCUGGCCCCUAGGGCCCGAGUUGUAAUUUGUAGAGGAUGCUUUUGGCGAGGUGCCUUCCGAGUUCCCUGGAACGGGACGCCAUAGAGGGUGAGAGCCCCGUCUGGUUGGAUACCGAGCCUCUGUAAAGCUCCUUCGACGAGUCGAGUAGUUUGGGAAUGCUGCUCUAAAUGGGAGGUAUAUGUCUUCUAAAGCUAAAUAUUGGCCAGAGACCGAUAGCGCACAAGUAGAGUGAUCGAAAGAUGAAAAGCACUUUGAAAAGAGGGUUAAAUAGUACGUGAAAUUGUUGAAAGGGAAGCGCUCAUGACCAGACUUGGGCCCGGUGAAUCAUCCAGCGUUCUCGCUGGUGCACUUUGCCGGGCUCAGGCCAGCAUCAGUUUGCUUCGGGGGAUAAAGGCUUUGGGAAUGUGGCUCCUCCGGGAGUGUUAUAGCCCUUUGCAUAAUACCCUGGGGCGGACUGAGGUUCGCGCAUCUGCAAGGAUGCUGGCGUAAUGGUCAUCAGCGACCCGUCUUGAAACACGGACCAAGGAGUCGUCUUCGUAUGCGAGUGUUCGGGUGUAAAACCCCUACGCGUAAUGAAAGUGAACGCAGGUGAGAGCUUCGGCGCAUCAUCGACCGAUCCUGAUGUUCUCGGAUGGAUUUGAGUAAGAGCAUACGGGGCCGGACCCGAAAGAAGGUGAACUAUGCCUGUAUAGGGUGAAGCCAGAGGAAACUCUGGUGGAGGCUCGCAGCGGUUCUGACGUGCAAAUCGAUCGUCAAAUAUGGGCAUGGGG
rnacentral:rRNA from 1 species